rnacentral:tRNA from 1 species
GCCCCUGUGGCGCAACGGUCAGCGCGCUCCCGUGUUUCGGGAGAGGACCUCGGUUCAAAUUCGAGCAGAAGUA